GCCCUCGUGGCGAAGCUGGUAGACGCAGUAGACUCAAAAUCUGCCGAGCGCAAGCUCAUGUCGGUUCGAAUCCGACCGAGGGCACCA
rnacentral:tRNA from 1 species